rnacentral:rRNA from 1 species
UACGGAGGGGACUAGCGUUGUUCGGAAUUACUGGGCGUAAAGCGCACGUAGGCGGAUUUGUAAGUCAGGGGUGAAAUCCCGGGGCUCAACCUCGGAACUGCCUUUGAUACUGCAAAUCUCGAGUCCGGAAGAGGUGAGUGGAAUUCCUAGUGUAGAGGUGAAAUUCGUCGAUAUUAGGAAGAACACCAGUGGCGAAGGCGGCUCACUGGUCCGGUACUGACGCUGAGGUGCGAAAGCGUGGGGAGCAAACAGG